rnacentral:rRNA from 1 species
UGAGGAAUAUUGGGCAAUGCCCGAAAGGGUGACCCAGCAACGCCGCGUGGAGGAUGAAGGUCGUAAGAUUGUAAACUCCUGUUAGAGGGGAAGAAUAACUAAGUUUGGAGCUUAGUAUGACUGUACCCUCAGAGAAAGCCCCGGCUAACUACGUGCCAGCAGCCGCGGUAACACGUAGGGGGCAAGCGUUGUCCGGAUUUACUGGGUGUAAAGGGCGCGCAGGCGGAAUGGAAAGUCAGUGGUGAAAUCCUACAGCUUAACUGUAGAACUGCCUUUGAUACUUUCAUUCUUGAGUUCGGGAGAGAGAGACGGAAUUCCAGGUGUAGUGGUGAAAUACGUAGAUAUCUGGAAGAACACCAGUUGCGAAGGCGGUCUCUUGGUCCGACACUGACGCUGAGGCGCGAAAGCGUGGGGAGCAAACA